GUCUACAGCUGUAUCACCAUGACCUCAACAGAUCUCCUCUGAUCUAAGCAGGGAUUGGUUAGUAUUGGGCUGGGAGACUGCCUGAGAUAACUAGGUACUGUAGGCU
rnacentral:rRNA from 1 species